rnacentral:rRNA from 1 species
UUUAGCUAACCGGUACUAAUGAACCGUGAGGCUUAACCUUACAACGCCGAAG